GGGCCCGCACAAGCGGUGGAGUAUGUGGUUUAAUUCGAUGAUACGCGAGGAACCUUACCAGGGCUUAAAUGUAGAGGGAAUAUAUUGGAAACAGUAUAGCCUUCGGGAACGCAGUGACAGGUGGUGCAUGGCUGUCGUCAGCUCGUGUCGUGAGAUGUUGGGUUAAGUCCCGCAACGAGCGCAACCCACGUCUUUAGUUGCCAGCAUUUAGUUGGGCACUCUAGAGAGACUGCCGGUGAUAAACCGGAGAAGGUGUGGAUGACGUCAAGUCAUCAUGCCCCUUACAUCUGGGCUACACACGUACUACAAUGCUACGGACAAAGGGCAGCAAGUUCGCGAGGACAAGCAAAUCCCAUAAACGUGGCUC
rnacentral:rRNA from 1 species